GAAUCCAGGUAAUCGCUGCAACGCUUGACGUUGUAGAGGAAAGUCCAUGCUCGCACGGUUCUGAGAUGACCGUAGUGUUCGUGCUUAGCCAAAAAAUAAGCUAAGGCAGUGUAAAAGCUGACGGCGGGAACAACACCUAAGUCUUCGGAUAUGGUCUAGGUUCUCUGAAAGUGCCACAGUGACGGAGCUGACUCGGAAACGUUUCAGGUGGAACGAGGUAAACCCCACGAGCGAGAAACCCAAAUUAUGGUAGGGGCACUCUCAUGAAGGAAUUGAACGGAUUGAGGGACAGACUUUGUCUGUAGAUAGAUGAUUACUACUCACUGUACGAGGCUUUAGCCGUUUGAGUACGUGAUAACAAAACAUGGCUUAUUGGG
rnacentral:RNase_P_RNA from 1 species